rnacentral:sRNA from 1 species
AAUUAUUUAAACUUGAAAGGCUCCCUUUUUUACCUCCUUGGUUUCUUAUUAAGGUGUUUAUUUUCAAAUAUUUAUAUAUAUAUGGUAAGAUGCGAGCCACCCAUUUAUAAUAAUUACCUCCGAUCCUGGUAGCAUGGGGGGUUUAUCUUUCGAAAAAGGCAUGAAACGCCUGGCAAAUAGGCAGGUUUAACCUAUUAUUUUUUUUUCUUCGUUCCUUUUUAUUCCCUUCCAAAUCCUACCAAUUCGGUUUAAUAAAAGUUUAUCCGAUUUAUAAACGACCCAAGGUUAUUAUAGCAGUAAUAAUAAAAGGACGAGGCCCGAUUUUUCCAUGGAUAUAUUGGAAAAAGAAGCAGCCGGUGGGUUAAUUUGCUCCGGAACAAUAUUUAUUUAUUUUCCGCAAAAUUUAAAAAUAAAAAAGACGUGUUCCAAAUUAAUGGUUGCAUUUGUUUUAGCGGUUUAAAUAUCGGAAUUAUAGGACGUUUAGCCCGGGCCGGUUAUACGGUAAACUUUUCGUCCACCAAAUUCGCUAAUUAAAAUGUUUCCAGCAAACCAAUAUAUAAUUAGCCGGUACCUGACGGUAUCGUUAAAAAUUCCAACCCUUUGUUACAGCUCCCUAUUUGCCUUUUAUAGCGGCUCGCCACGUUUUUUAAUGGAAUUAUUUAAAUUGCCUUUUAUAAUUUAUCCUGUACCUUUAAAAAUUAUUAGCCCGGUUAAGGUAGGUAUUAAACGUAUUUAGUACGUAUUUGGUUAAUAAGACGGCCGCCGCCUUGGCCCUCUUCCUCCAGCCGUAUUAUAUGGCCCGUUCGGCAAAGGCCCGCAAAAAAUUAAAGGAUAAUAGAAAAGGUAUAUUGGGGAAAGCCAUCGUUAAUAUUACAUAUAAUGUAAUAAUCCGUGGGUAAACCAAACCCACUAUACGAAAUAUAAGCGCCACGGUUCGGGGACGUGCCGGUAUUAAUUUUCAAAAUAUGCGAACAAGAUAACGAUAAUUACCUCAAAUUACGCUGUCGGGACCAAUAUCGCACAUAUAACCGGCCCGUAAUUUGUACAAGGCGCCUUCAGGCCAGUUUACAAAUUUCAGAUAUUUUUCACAUAUAUUGUUUCUUAGGGCCACGUUUAUAUAAGGUUUUAACCACUAAUUUCGCUCACGACCGCCCGCGCCUUAUCCAACGUACCAAUCCAGGACCACAAAACCAAGGCUCAACCAAUUAUUAAUUUAUUUAAAACGCCUUUUUUGUUUAUAUAAGCGGUAAAACUUCGGAUCGCGCGAAUAUCUACUUAUUUAUACAGCCUGCCGAUAAACCCUUAUAGUUUGCCCCAAUUCGUCUAACCUCCAUUGCAGCUGGCGUUUUAUUGUAUUCCGCAAACCACACCUUUUCACCUUUUUUAACAUUCCCCGUAAAUGCAAUUUUUAUUUUUCGGUCUUUUUCUUUUUCUCUCUCUUUUUUUCUAAUAAUAUAAUAUUUACAAAAUUCUGGGGCCGUGCUAUUAUACUCGUGUAACGUUAGCUGCAAUGUUUUUAACGUUUAAAUAUAGCGAUAAUCCAGAAAAGAAGAAAAAGGCAGUUUUUCAAAAAUCAAAUGUUCUUAUUAUUUGGUUUAUAAUGUAUUCCAAACCCCUAAUUGCGGCAAUUAUAUUUUAUAAACCGCCAGAAAAGGCGGUUCCUAUUACAAUUACGCCAUUUAAAUAACUUUUUAUUAUAAUUGCAGUUAAACAAACGUCGAGCAACUAUGGUACCUUUCGAGCGAAUAUUUAAAUCUUUAUAAAGGUAUAUUACCUAUUAAUAUAUAAAUAAAAAAAAAAAAAGAAAUUGUAAUUCGACAUUAAAUUAUUAGGACCCUAAUAUUUAUUAUUUUAUUAGCUCGAGAUUAAAUUAUUACGGCGAAAUAACGUCUUCAGUUGUUAAACAGUGCAAAUUGGACGCCCAUAAUUUGGUUAUGGAAAAAAUUGGGAAAAACUACGUAUUUAUAAUUGGUAUAUAAUCUGGAAUCGAAAACGGGAGGAAAUAAGCGGGCACGAAACAUCCAAGGCCCUACGGCGGCCACCCCUGCGCCUGGAACUCAACUUCCCUGUAAUACCCUCCACAAUUAAAACCUUAAAGGAGAAUUUAUACCCGUUUCUGUUAGCGAUGCUGAAGAUCCAUCGUUUCCCGUUUUUGUUACAUUAAUUGGCAAUAUAUUGUCUUUUUUCUAUCGUUAAAGUAAUUUGUGGAUAAUUAUUUAAAACCCCGGAGCUGAAUUUUGUAAAAAUCAGUUCCGAAAAUUUAAUAAAUAACAGGCCUUUGCAUUCUAGGGUCGAUUAAAUUAGGAAUAAUAUUAAUGGUUAUUAAACCGAUUAAAAACCCCGGGUUUGUUUUCGAAACUUGCUCCAAAAAAAAAAAAAGAAGAAAAAAAGGACUGCGUCGGCUUAGGGUGUUAAAUCGGGUCGGUAUAUAAUUUAUAUUGCCGCUGCUUUCGCUGUUAUCCACCGCGAUUUUCACGGAUUCGAAUAUCAAAUAUUAAAAAUCAUUAGUUUAAUAUCCAGGGAAAUAAAACCUCUAUUUCCGGCCCAAUUUAGGCGCCUUAUUAGGGAGGUAGUUCUCUGGGGAGGGCCGCAUAUAAUGUUUCGAUAUUUUAAUUACCGUUUCCCUCGUUAUAGCAAAUAUAUAAAAUAACGGUGGCUGCUGUCGCCAAAUUAUACCCACAUUCCAAAUGCAGCCAGUUCGUGCUCGUUUAUUGGUGGAAUUCCAAUUAUAUUAAUAAACGCCGCUGGUAAUAUCCAAACUAUCUGUCCAACCAAAGUUAUAUAUUAAAUUAAAUAAUAUUGUUUAGGUUAAGGCGUAUUGCAAAUAAUUUAUAUUGUAUUUUUAACGAUAAUUUGGCUGUUUUUAAUUUUUUAAUAUUAAAAUAUAUAGGCUGCAAUAAUUAUUGUAAAAAUAUUAGGUGGAUUAAUUAAUUAACGAUAGAGAAAAUUUAGCGAUUUUGUAAUUACCAGUUACAAUCUUAUAUAAACGGUUUAAAUAAAAUUAAUAUUAAUACCAAUUUAUGCAAUAUAUAAUAAUUACAGGGGCAAUCGUCCGGCGGCCUCGGCGUUAUGGGCCAGUUUUUCGCCAUUUUGGGAAAGGAGGAUUCGUAUGCUCCACGGUCGUUUUAUAUGGCCUUUAAAAACCGUUGGUUAACCGUUGGAUGUCGCAACGCCCCCGCCCAUAAUAAACAAAUCCCAAGGGCGAUAGCGAAAGGGCGAGCACCGCCGCCUGGAUUUGAAUUUGGGCCCCUAAUUUUGGAAUCCGUAUUACCCGUUUCGGUAAUAUACGAAUAUUUGCGGAAAUCGAUUAAACGUUUGUCGGUAAUGGCAAUUAUUGCAGUUUAACCGUUUUUUAAACAUUAAAAAUUCCCCUGUCCCGGAUAUUGGCCGCAAUCUGGGCCACCAACGGAUUUAAUAUCGACCCUUAUUUAUCUAUGUAUAUUGCUUAGUCGUCUGGGACCAAUCGAGGCGUAUAUUAAAUUCGAUUUAAAAUUAAUCGGGUUGGCCAAAAUAUAAAUAAUAUUCCAACAACCAAUACACAUUUUUUUACAAACAGGCUAACGAGGAUAAUAAUUUUACAUUGCAAAUUUGGCAUCGAUAAAUAAUAAUAUUUACGUAUAACGGCUUUUUUAAAUAUUAUUAAUUUAUAGUUGCGAAUAUUAUUUACGUAACCAAUAUAAAUUUCUGCGCCCCUUUUUAUAUUCCCAUUCGUUUUACCUUUUUGUAUUCCGUACCUUUGCAUAUGUAUUAAAAAAAAUGGAAACGACCAUACGUUUGCCCUCGCCCGCACCCCCGGGUCGACGCCCCCCUAUAAUACUAGGACUGCAUAAUUCGCAACCAGACCCUAAACCACCCCUUACCUCCUAAUUUAACAUAUAAAUAUUAUAUUUAAUACAAUUAAUAAAUUACGAAUUAAUAAUAAAAAUAUUAUUACGGCCAGGUAUAUAUUGGACAACCUUAAUAUAUUGGGCGCUAUUAACGAAAAUUUUAAAUUUAAAAGAAAAAAGAAAACAAAAUUGACGGCGCGCUGGAAAAACCCCUUUAUCCGAUCCCUGACUUAACGUGGCUGGUGGAGCCGAAUCGUAAUUUUAAAAAUAAAUCUGGGGGCCUGAUUUUUAUAUAUAACAAAUAAUAAUUGAUCUUUUAGGCGUACGCCCGUUUCUGGAUACCGAACAUUCCAGCGUCAAAUGGAUCGGUUAAAUAAAAUAACUAAUUUGGCAGGCAAAAUUGAACAAUUUUGUAAUUUUUACAAUAGCCCUUAACAUUAGGGGAUUAAUAACUGCCGUGCCCGUUAAAUAUUAACAUCCGAUAUACGCAUUGUGCGAUUUAAUAUAAUUAUUUAAAUGUUAAUUUAUCCACCUAUUAUAUUGUUUGUCCAUCGAUUAAAGGGUGGCUUUUAUACGCCAGGAUACCGCAAAGCCGCAUUGUUUAUACCGGUUCGAAUAAUUGCUAUUAUUAGGUUUUGCAGAGAUUUUUUGCAUUAAUAUACAAUUGUCCAUACGUAAAUAUUUUAAAUACAAACUAGCAAACAUUCGACAAAGUGACAGUCGGAACUAUUUAAAACGUUUGAAAAAAAUAUAUAUAAUUAAAUUUUAAACAGGUAUAACGGACAUAUAAUUAAAUAAUAAAUAAAUUAUAAAUCCCUGCAAUAAUUAGUUUAACUUUUGUUUCCAAAACCUUAAAAUACUAUUUAUAUAUUAUAAUUUAUAAGACGAACUUUUAUAUUAAAAAUGGCCUGUUAUAAUUAACUUCUUUUAAUACCUAGGAUGGCCGCGGCUCCCUAAUAUUACGUUACCUGUUAAUACUCCAUACCAAAUUUUUAACAGGGAAUCCAUCGAUUAUUACCUCAUUUGUUAAUUACAAAUAUAAUUAGUCGUUUGAGCGAAAAACUUUCGAUUGUUUAUUUAAAAACUAUUAAAUUAAUUUUUUUAACAGUGGAACCCUUUUUUAAUAUUUGAGUCGUUUUAAAUCCGCGAUUAAAAUUUCCUUUUGGUAUAAUAUCUUUUAAAACAAUUGUUCUUUUUUCAACCUUACUUUCAUAUUAAAUAUUUUACAUUUUUUACAAUUUCUUUCCUCCUUUCCUCCGCAAUUUGCCUUUAUAAUUGCAACUUUUUUCAAUUCUGGUUAAUAAUCCGGAUCCUUUUUCUUAUUAUUAUAAAAUAUAUAUUAAACGCGGGAAUAUAAAAUCUAUUCCAUUUCCUCCGUCAAUAUGCGUUUUAGAAAUUAUUACAUUGUUUCCGCUUUGGUAAUUUUUCCAAUAAACACCGUCGUGGCCAAGCGAUCUGCUAAAAUAUUCCCCAUGGAAAAUAUUAAAUUAAAAGACGAUUGGGACGGAAUACGUUAUUAAUAUAUAAUUAAUCCUGGUUCUCGUUAGCGGCUGGUUAAUUUUCCCAGGGAAUUUACAAUAUUAUUUAACCGAAAUAAUAUACGUUAUCGUGUAAAGGCAGAUUCGGACUGUAAUUUUAUAUGGUUAGAUGAAACGCCCCCGGAUCUUACAUUUUAAUUUGACAGAGUAAUUAUACCUUUAUAAAUUGCAGGACGAUUUUGGUAUUACAAUAGUAUUUCCAAUAAGAUAAGGCUGUAAUAUAGGGGCGAUUUUAUUCGAAAAUUUAAAGUUAAAUGUAAAGAAGAAAAGGUCACGCAAUGCCAAUCGCGUACACGCGCCUAAAUAUAUAAUAACGAACCUUGGUAUUUUAUUACGUGGGAUGGAGCUAGUUACGGUUGGUAAUUGCCUAGGCACGCCAUUCCGUAAUAGCCGUAUCAAAAAAAGCUAACCAACUUUUUUUCUUACAAAAGAAUAAAGAAAAAAUCGCGCGCGCGAAUAUUAUUAUUAAAAUCGUGUAAAAAAUGGUGCGGAAGACUGUGUAACGAAUGGCCGUUGGCGAUAAUUAUAAAAAAAACGAAACCUGUACAAACGGGUUAAUUUAUAUUUAAUUUUACCUGGGGUUAUAAUACCAACAUUUAAUUAAAACCCCUGGUGCCCAAACAGCCCCGGUCACCGAAUAUCCUACAGAAAUAAAUAUGUUUUUAACUCUCCUAUUUCAUUCGUCGAUUUCGCUACCUAAUUCGUUUAUAUUGAAAAUAUCCGUAAUAUAAGAAUUAUUAUUAUAAAUUAAAAAUUCUUUUGGGAUAUUUAAAUUUCCUGCAACUUGUUCCUAUAUGCGCCUAACAUCUUGGAUAUUCACAAAAAGGGUUUCGGGGUCCAUUUGCACCUUUUAUUCUUUUCGAAGGCCGCGCUGCCUCCAAUUAAACCUUUUAUAUAUUAAUUUCGUGCUGUUUUCGAGCCAAUGCGGCAUUUUUAAUAUCCCAACCUUUUUAAAACUUAUUAUAAAACAGCCGGGCAGUAAAAUCGUAUACGUAUUUGCGUUUAUAGGUGUAACGAAAUCGCCAAACUGUUUCGACCGCACCGGUAUCUCCCAAACAACCGCUAAUUGUCCAAUAUCGGGGUUAAUAGUACCCUUUAUAUCUCUUCCCCUCGCCAGGACCUUGGAAUAGGUUUUUUUCGCUUUGGUUUUGCGUAUAUUACUGUUUACGAAAGGGAAAAGGUUUAUUAGGGGUUUGGCGAAAUUUACCGGCCAUUAUCCGGCCGCUUUAAAACCCGUUUUUUAAUUUAAAGCGGCACGUCCCUGGACACGGGUUUUAUAAUAACAAAAUAAAAAAUAACGUUUUCCUACUACUAUUUAAUCGCCAAUAUCGCCUAAGGAAGCGAUAUAACGCCUGUACGCGUUUUUUAAAACCGGGGGUGUUCGGGCACCAAAGGUUUUAAUUAAUUUAUAUUGGAAAAAUCAUUUAUUUGGUAAUAAUUAUAAGUUUUUUAUUCUAAUAAAAAACCAGUUUAUAUUAUUCCGCAAUUAUUUAACUUUAAUAUAUUAAAUUAAAUUGUGGACCAAUUUUUAUUUAUUUAAUUGUACGAUAUGCAAAUAAUAUUUGCAAUUAUUUAUAUUUAACUCCAAAAAUAAUUAAAUCCCUAAAUAUAUUCGCCAAGGAAUAAUGGGAGGAAAUUUAUUCUGCUAUUUGAUAAUAUUAACAAUGGGUGGAAAUAACAGGGUUUAAUUUAAAUACGGCAAUCCCACAAAUUAACGCCGUCCGUAAUGGUGGUUCCUAAUUCCGCAAUAAUUAUUGUAAAAUAUUUA